ensembl:lncRNA
ACAGCUAAAAUUGUGACAAAACUACAAACCACUUUUUCCUUGAGGCAAGGUCAUCAACACCUCCUACCAGGGACGGACACUGAACUCUUUGAUCACCAAGAGCUGCAGGGGAGAAGGAUGAGAGUAGAUCAGGAACAUGUGAUCUAUAAAAAAGCUGUGGGCGCAAAGCCACAUGAAGACGAACUUGCUCUUAGCUGCUUUGUUGGCCUGCUCUCUAGUAGAUGUUCUCAGUUGGAGAGAAGUGUAGUCUCACAUCAUGAGCGGGUGACGCUGGUUGAAAGCACCUUUCUUAAGGGAAUCAUGAAAGACAUGACUUUGGCAAACCCCGAGGAUUGGAUUUUUCUUAAAUUUUUGAUGGAAUGUUAUGUCAUAGAAUCUGUACAGGCACUUUACAUCAAACAGAGAUGGAAGAAGGACAGCUAGGGUUCUCUCUGGGGAGGAGUGGCAUAUGGUCAGCCUAGUACAUUGGAAAACUACAACUUGGAGGGAAUUUUUUCUUCCAAUUUCCAAGUCCCAUUUUUCUUCCAACAUUUUCAAUUAAAUCUGUAAUGUAGAUCAACGGACACCAUCGAUGUUCCCUUUUCUGUGAACAUGCUAUUAUGUAUUUCACGUUUAUAUUAGAGCUGUCAAACGAUUAAAAUAUUUAAUCACGAUUAAUCCCAUUUAUGUCAUAGUUAACUAAAAAUUAAUCACAAUUAAUCACAGACUUUUAUCUAUUCUUAAUGUCCCUUUUGUCCAUAGAUUUUUUUUUAUUUUAAUGCUCUUAUCAACAUGGAAAAGUGGAUUGGCUUGCUUUGUGCAAAUGUUUUCUUUUAUUGAAAAACAACAUUGCCAAACAGGGCGGUACAAAAUAAAAUUAUGAAGUCCACAUUUCAGGUAAACAAGGACUCAGCCUAUAGUGCAGUUAAACCAUGGCACACCAAGUUUGCUGUGAACACAGCAGUCAGGCCUCUUAUUUCAGAAAGAAUUAACAGUAACAGUUAGGUUACCAAUAAAAGGUAAGCCUACUACUUCUUUCCUUCUAGCCAGCUGCCUAAACAGACACGCCUGUUGACAUUUUCAGACAACAGUGAAGCUCGCUUCUUUCGCCCAACAUGCCCAGACACCGAAAACAACCUUUCAGAAGGUACUGAUGUUGCCGGUGCUGCUAAGUACUUGUGUGCAAGGCGGGCCAUUUUGCUGUGUGCCCCUUCAUGUGUGGACCACCGUUCCUGGGGACAAUCAUCCACCCCCCCCCCAAAAAUUAAAAACGUUAAUCUCGAGAUAAGAAAAUUGACGUCGUUCUUUGCCAGGUGUUUGUACAGCUGCCUCUAUGCUCGUCGGCAGAUGUUGACAUCGCAAUAGGAUUUCAAUUGUGCAAGAUGUAGUAAUGGAAAUUUACAGCCGGAAUGUCGAGAUCAAAAUGAAAGUUAAAGUUUGAAGAUGGUGCGAUUGGCGAGAUCCCCCCUCCCACACCCUCUUGUUGUUGUGGCCUGCUUAUUCCAUCAAGAUUGUCUCCAGCUGUAAUUUUGCAUUUGCUCAGUGUGCUUAGUCCCUGUGAAAGGUCAAACAUCCAAAUCAUUAGUUUCUACAGUCCAUAACUUUGUGACUGGUCCGUCCCCUCAGCAUGUUGUGCUCAUUUAAUGAUCACCGUCAUGCCAAUGUUCAUCCGAAUGUCAGUCCCACGUUCAGUUUGCAAGAGGCGCUUCAUAAUGACAGGGCAGCCUGCCACUUGCUCAGACAUGAAUGCAGGACUUAAACCGCCAGAGGAACUGAUCACGUCGACUGCACGAAGCAGAGAAUGGGUGUCACAGACGGUGACUCACGCGAAGCGCGUCAGAAAAACAAACUCCCUCUGACUUAGUUCAUGCGUUACAUUAUCCACACACACACCUAGAUUCAAGACACAACUAAACAAUGGGACAGAUAUCUUGUUCUUCCAGCUCUUUUCAGGUGGAAUAGCCACGGGGGAAUAACCACAGGUGUUUUAAGUCUUGAGAAAGGAACAGCAUCUUCGUAUCCAUGACAUAUGACGCACUGUGUAAAAGAAUAUCAUAGCUGCAUUUCAAUAUAUAAGUAAAAAAUAAACGGUCAAACAGAAUAAUUAAAUUAAAAUAAAGUGAAUAUGCUCUCGCCCGAUGUUGGCUGGGAUUGGCUUCAGCCCCCCGCAACCCUGUAUGAACGCUAAGCGGCUUUGAAGAUGGAUGGAAAGUAAAUAUGCUUUUGCAGUUAAUUUGAUCUCAUUAAGAUGCUUUGACUUAAUUAUCAAAUGUUUAUACUUGGUGAACAAUUUUGUUUCCUGACUUUAUCUCAGUUAUCUUUAUCAUAUGAU